UACGAAGGGGGCUAGCGUUGUUCGGAAUUACUGGGCGUAAAGCGCGCGCAGGCGGUCUUCCAAGUCAGUGGUGAAAGCCCGGAGCUCAACUCCGGAACUGCCAUUGAAACUGUUAGACUUGAGGAUGAGAGAGGUGAGUGGAAUUCCCAGUGUAGAGGUGAAAUUCGUAGAUAUUGGGAAGAACACCGGUGGCGAAGGCGGCUCACUGGCUCAUUACUGACGCUCAGGCGCGAUAGCGUGUGGAUCAAACAGG
rnacentral:rRNA from 1 species